rnacentral:rRNA from 1 species
CCUACGGGUGGCAGCAGUGGGGAAUAUUGGACAAUGGGGGCAACCCUGAUCCAGCCAUGCCGCGUGUGUGAAGAAGGCCCUCGGGUUGUAAAGCACUUUCAGUGAGGAAGAACGCCUGGUGGUUAAUACCCAUCAGGAAAGACAUCACUCACAGAAGAAGCACCGGCUAACUCCGUGCCAGCAGCCGCGGUAAUACGGAGGGUGCGAGCGUUAAUCGGAAUUACUGGGCGUAAAGCGCGCGUAGGUGGCUUGAUAAGCCGGUUGUGAAAGCCCCGGGCUCAACCUGGGAACGGCAUCCGGAACUGUCAAGCUAGAGUGCAGGAGAGGAAGGUAGAAUUCCCGGUGUAGCGGUGAAAUGCGUAGAGAUCGGGAGGAAUACCAGUGGCGUAGGCGGCCUUCUGGACUGACACUGACACUGAGGUGCGAAAGCGUGGGUAGCAAACAGGAUUAGAUACCCGUGUAGUC